rnacentral:tRNA from 1 species
UGUGAUUGUGGCUCAGUGAUAGAGCGCUCACUUAGCAUGUGCGAGGCCCUGGGUUUGAUCCUCAGCACCAUAU